rnacentral:rRNA from 1 species
GUCGACGGUACAGGAAACAGCUUGCUGUUUCGCUGACGAGUGGCGGACGGGUGAGUAAUGUCUGGGAAACUGCCUGAUGGAGGGGGAUAACUACUGGAAACGGUAGCUAAUACCGCAUAACGUCGCAAGACCAAAGAGGGGGACCUUCGGGCCUCUUGCCAUCGGAUGUGCCCAGAUGGGAUUAGCUUGUUGGUGGGGUAACGGCUCACCUAGGCGACGAUCCCUAGCUGGUCUGAGAGGAUGACCAGCCACACUGGAACUGAGACACGGUCCAGACUCCUACGGGAGGCAGCAGUGGGGAAUAUUGCACAAUGGGCGCAAGCCUGAUGCAGCCAUGCCGCGUGUAUGAAGAAGGCCUUCGGGUUGUAAAGUACUUUCAGCGGGGAGGAAGGGAGUAAAGUUAAUACCUUUGCUCAUUGACGUUACCCGCAGAAGAAGCACCGGCUAACUCCGUGCCAGCAGCCGCGGUAAUACGGAGGGUGCAAGCGUUAAUCGGAAUUACUGGGCGUAAAGCGCACGCAGGCGGUUUGUUAAGUCAGAUGUGAAAUCCCCGGGCUCAACCUGGGAACUGCAUCUGAUACUGGCAAGCUUGAGUCUCGUAGAGGGGGGUAGAAUUCCAGGUGUAGCGGUGAAAUGCGUAGAGAUCUGGAGGAAUACCGGUGGCGAAGGCGGCCCCCUGGACGAAGACUGACGCUCAGGUGCGAAAGCGUGGGGAGCAACAGGAUUAGAUACCCUGGUAGUCCACGCCGUAACGAUGUCGA